UACGUAGGGGCGAGCGUUUGUCCGGAAUUCAUUGGGCGUAAAGGGCGCGUAGGUGGUUUCUGUAUGUCAUACCGGUGAAACGCGUAUCGGACUCAACCGUAUUUUGUCGGUAGAAACUGCAGGACUUGAGGCUGGGAGGGGCUGGUGGAAUUCCCUGUGUAGCGGUGAAAUGCGCAGAUAUCAGGAGGAACACCGGUGGCGAAGGCGGGUCUCUGGGCCGAGUAACUGACGCUGAGGAGCGAAAGCGUGGGGAGCGAACAGG
rnacentral:rRNA from 1 species